rnacentral:rRNA from 1 species
UACGGAGGGUGCAAGCGUUGUUCGGAAUUACUGGGCGUAAAGGGCUCGUAGGUGGCCAACUAAGUCAUACGUGAAAUCCCUCAGCUUAACUGGGGAACUGCGUCUGAUACUGGAUGGCUUGAGUUUGGGAGAGGGAUGCGGAAUUCCAGGUGUAGCGGUGAAAUGCGUAGAUAUCUGGAGGAACACCGGUGGCGAAGGCGGCAUCCUGGACCAAUACUGACACUGAGGAGCGAAAGCCAGGGGAGCAAACGGG